rnacentral:rRNA from 1 species
GGUGCGCCUUAUGCAUGCAAGUCGAGCGAAGCUUUUCAGUAGUUUACUACAGAAAAUGACUGAGCGGCGAACGGGUGAGUAACGCGUGAGCAACCUACCUUAGUUACUGGGAUAGCCCGAGGAAACUCGGAUUAAUACCGGAUAUUCUUAUUUAAUCACAUGAUUUUUUAAGGAAAGGUCAGCCGAACUAAGAUGGGCUCGCGUUCUAUCAGCUAGUUGGUAGGGUAAUGGCCUACCAAGGCUACGACGGAUAGCUGGUCUGAGAGGACGAUCAGCCACACUGGGACUGAGACACGGCCCAGACUCCUACGGGAGGCUGCAGCAGGGAAUAUUGCGCAAUGAGCGAAAGCUUGACGCAGCGACACCGCGUGUGGGAUGACGGAUCUAGGUUUGUAAACCACUUUCAGGAGGGAAGAAAAUGACGGUACCUCCACAAGAAGCCCCGGCCAACUACGUGCCAGCAGCCGCGGUAAUACGUAGGGGGCGAGCGUUGUCCGGAUUUAUUGGGCGUAAAGAGCUCGUAGGCGGUUCAACAAGUCGGUCGUGAAAGUUCAGGGCUCAACCCUGAAAUGUCGAUCGAUACUGUUGUGACUAGGAUACGGUAGAGGUGAGUGGAAUUCCGAGUGUAGCGGUGAAAUGCGUAGAUAUUCGGAGGAACACCAAUUGCGAAGGCAGCUCACUGGGCCGCUAUCGACGCUGAGGAGC